rnacentral:tRNA from 1 species
ACUAUUUUGGCAGAUAAGUGCGUUGGAUUUAGAAUCUAUUAAUGUAAAUAAAUUUUACAGGUAGUA